rnacentral:rRNA from 1 species
AUGGAGAAGUAUUUGAUAAAGAAAUCAAGAGAUGUCAACACCACCACCCGAGGUCCUCCUAUCACCACCAACAGUUCAAGUGGUAGUGGAAAUGCAUCAAGACCUGUACCAAGACAUAAUUCUGCCGUGCCUGCACUAAUUGACUUGAACAAGAUUCCUCGGGAUCCAUCUAAAAGGAAGCGAAUGGCAGAUUAUCACCCAAACCAGCGUGAUGAGAUAAGAAGAAAGUAUCUAAUUUGGGGACCUAAUCAGCCUAACAUUGACUUUCCAUACAGAGAGUUUGGGAAGAAGAAGAAGAGGAGGAGGUUCAAUGCAGAUUGGUAUGACGAUUAUGCAUAUUGGCUAGAGUACAGCGAGAAGGAGCACAAGGCCUAUUGCUUAUGUUGCUAUUUGUUUAGAGACAACAUCAAAGAUAGCCACCAUGGGCAUGAUGCAUUUGUAGUGGAAGGCUUCAACAGUUGGAACAAGCCAGAGAGAUCUGUGACUCAUGUCGGCAAUCGUAAUAGCUUUCACAACAGGGCACUCAAGGAUUGUGAGGAUCUACUAAAAAAAGAUCAACCAAUCUCUGCAACCAUGCAUAGAAAAAGCGAAAUUGAAAAGAAUGAGCAUCUCAUCCGCUUAAAUGCUGCAAUUGAUGUUUGCCGAUACUUGUUGCAUCAGGGGCAACCUUUCCGUGGUCACAAUGAAUCUAAAGAUUCUAAAAAUAAAGGAAACUACCGUGAGUUUAUGGAUUACACUAUUAAGCAGAAUGAUGUCGUUGCUAAGGCAUUCAAGAAUGCUCCAGAGAAUAAUCAGUUGUUGUCUCCAGCAAUUCAGAGAGAUAUUACCGAGUGUUUCGCAAAAGAAAUAUUGAGUUAUGUGAUGGAAGAAAUUGGUAAUGGUGCUUUUAGCUUAUUAGUUGAUGAGUGUCGAGAUGUUUCCGACAAAGAACAAAUGGCAGUUGUGCUCCGAUACGUUGAUAAAUGUGCGUUGGUCCAAGAAAAGUUUGUUGGUGUUGUCCAUGUGGAGGAGACAACAGCUUCUUAUCUCAAGUCUUGCAUAGAUUUAUUAUUUUCGCAACUUGGUUUGAAUAUUAAACAAGUUAGAGGCCAAGGUUAUGACGGUGCAAGUAAUAUGUCUGGUGAGUUUAAUGGUUUGCAAGCUAAAAUUAUGAGUGAGAACAAUUCAACAUAUUAUAUACAUUGUUUUUCUCAUAAACUCAACCUGGUUGUUGUGGCUAUUGCAAAAAAGAUAUUCGAUGUAGGAGAUUUCUUUGAUAUGGUUUCAGUUUUGCUGAAUGUCGUGGGAGCAUCUUGUAAGAGAAAAGACCAACUUCGUGAGCAUCAUCAAGAAGAAGUGAGGAAAGCAAUUGGUUGUGGAGAGAUCUCUACAUGA